rnacentral:rRNA from 1 species
UACGGAGGGGCAAGCGUUGUCCGGACUUACUGGGCGUAAAGGGCGCGUAGGCGGUCGUGACAAGUCACUUGUGAAAUCUCCGGGCUUAACUCGGAACGGUCAAGUGAUACUGUCGUGCUAGAGUACAGAAGGGGCAACUGGAAUUCUCGGUGUAGCGGUGAAAUGCGUAGAUAUCGAGAGGAACACCUGCGGCGAAGGCGGGUUGCUGGGCUGAUACUGACGCUGAGGCGCGAAAGCUAGGGGAGCGAACGGG